ensembl:lncRNA
CAACUCUAGCAAGUGCAGCCUGCGGCUUGUCUCAAAUGCAUGUAGUCAAUUGUGCAAAGCACAAGGGAAAAGAUCUCAUCCUGACCGCAGCAGGCAAUCACCUGAUGCCCUGAAGCAUGAAGUUUGAUUACCCUUAUCUCAGUUUAUCAUUAAAUCAAAGACUGUUGCUACAAAUACUGGACCAGGACUCCAUUUAUGAAAUGAUAUACGCCAGUCAGCAGAAGUAAGAAUCCUGAAUCAAAAAGAUCAACCAAAAAUGCUGAUGCAUGGGUGAUGAUUUCUCAAACAACAUAUCUGAUUACUCACAGAGGUAAAAGGAUUCUCCCUCAGCUAUAGGUUUUGGUUUCUUCGGUAUAAUCCUGAAACUCGCCGCCACCAGUCCUUGCAGCAGCGGCAGCGACAGCAGCAGCCGGACCAAGCGGGAGCAAAACAAAUCGAGGCACGGCAAAUGGUGUAAUUCGAUCCAUCUCCAAGUCAAUCCAUCAGGCGAGCCGGAGUCUCGUUCCCUCCCCGCACUCGGCAGCUCGAGGCGCGAGGCCCACCCCC